rnacentral:lncRNA from 1 species
GGUUUUCCUAAAUUCUCAUGGGCAUAGAAAUCAUGUUUUAAGAAAGGGGUUUUUGAAUUCAUGUACAUAUUUAUGUUUUAGAAGCUUUAAAUGAUAUUGUUUUAGCCUUUUGGCUUUCCCCCAAAGUGACUUAAAAAUUAUAUGUAUAUGUAUAUAUGUGUUUUGCCUUGAAAUAUGAAUUGAGAGCACGAUUUAUAUGAAAUCCCUCUCUUGAUGUAAUUUU